CUCUGUGUAGCUCUGGUUGUCCUGGAACUCACUCUGUAGACCAGGCUGGCCUAGAACUCACAGAGAUCUGCCUGCCUCUGCCUCCCAAUCGCUGGGAUCAAAGGUGUGUGCCACCACUGACCAGCUUCAUUUUUUUUUUAAUUCUUUUGAUACAAAGUCUCAAUAAUCCAGUUUAUUUCCAAACUCUCUCCAUAGUGGGGAAUGACCUUGAAUUUUAUUAUUAUUAUUAUUAUUAUUAUUGUUAUUAUGCUGUUGCUUCUACCUUCCACAUGCCAGGAUUCCACAUGAUGAGGAUGAAGUCUAGAACCUCAUCAUGUUGGACAGGCACUCUCCUGACUGGGCUACAUCCCCAACCCCAGGGUGUACUUUUGUAUCAUUAAAAAAAAAAACAACCCUGCAAACCUUGCAAAAACUAACUUAAGCAAACACUCCAUUUUCUCUUGACUCCAGAGUCAAAUGAUUUACUUAAGAAAUCAAUGCUGUGAAAGAAAAAUAACCUUUUUCUGAGCAAUGUCAGUUGGAAACCAUUCAGAGGUGCCAUUUCCCUGGCGCCACAGAGAGGCUGCGUUGUUGUGGUGCACCGUGGCCUAAGUCAACUGGAAAACUCCAAUCAGGAGAACACACUGCAAACAUUUUUAAAGGUUUAUGACUUUAAAUGGCUUCAGCAGAAUUUAUGUUCCCCUUUCCUGGAAAUAUUAAAAAAAAAGAAAUCGGUUCUGUAAA
rnacentral:lncRNA from 1 species